GAUGAACGCUGGCGGCGUGCCUAAUACAUGCAAGUCGAGCGAACAGACGAGGAGCUUGCUCCUCUGACGUUAGCGGCGGACGGGUGAGUAACACGUGGAUAACCUACCUAUAAGACUGGGAUAACUUCGGGAAACCGGAGCUAAUACCGGAUAAUAUAUUGAACCGCAUGGUUCAAUAGUGAAAGACGGUUUUGCUGUCACAUAUAGAUGGAUCCGCGCCGGAUUAGCUAGUUGGUAAGGUAACGGCUUACCAAGGCGACGAUGCGUAGCCGACCUGAGAGGAUGAUCAGCCACACUGGAACUGAGACACGGUCCAGACUCCUACGGGAGGCAGCAGUGGGGAAUAUUGGACAAUGGGCGAAAGCCUGAUCCAGCCAUACCGCGUGGGUGAAGAAGGCCUUCGGGUCGUAAAGCCCUUUUGUUGGGAAAGAAAAGCAGCAGGUUAAUACCCCGCUGUUCUGACGGUACCCAAAGAAUAAGCACCGGCUAACUUCGUG
rnacentral:rRNA from 1 species